rnacentral:lncRNA from 10 species
GCAAAUAUUAAUAAAUCUGAAGAAAGAGAUAGAUUGCAAUAUAAUAAUAGUAGGGGACAUCAACAUCCCACUUUCAACAAUGAACAGAUAAUCCAGACAGAAAAUCAAUAGCAAAACAUUGAACUUGAACUAUAAACUAUACUUUAGACCAAAUGGACCAAAGAAACAUAUACAAAGCAGUCCAUCCAAUAGGAACAGAAUACACAUUCUGGUUUAGAAUCAUAUCACAUGUUAGGCACAGGCACAGAACAAGUCUUAACAAAUUGAAGAGAAUUGAAAUAACAUGAAGAAUUUUUUUCUGACCACAGUGAUAUGAAUAAAAUGGUAUAAAAGGAGAAAUUCUGGGAAAUUCACAAUAUGUGAAAAUUAAACAACAUGGUUCUGAACAACAAAUGGGUCAAAAAAAUUAAAAGAGAAAUUAUAAACAUCUUGAGACAAGCAAAAAUAGAAAAACAACAUAUGAAAACUUAAGGGAUGCAGCAAAAGUGGUUCUAAGAGUGAAGUUAGACCUACAUGAAACAUAUAAACACCUGCAUGAAAACAGAAGAAAUAUAUCAAAGAAAUAACCAAACACAUAUGUACCUGGCAGGGGAGAUACCAUGAUCAUGAAGGUGGUUUUCCCAGGGUGAAGCUUAUCCAUUGUACUCCGGAUAUGCUGACCCCUGUGAUUUCCCCAGAUGUAGGAAACUCAACUACAGUCUAAAACUAGUACCUCAAUUACCCAUGUAUCCAUACACUUGAAACUAUACCCAUUAAACACUAACUCCCUGGCCGGGCACGGUGGCUCCUGCCUGUAAUCCCAGCACUUUGGGAGGCCCAGGCGGGCAGAUUACGAGGUCAGGAGAUCGAGACCAUAAAAAAAAUAAACAAAAUUGGUCAACCUUUAGCAAGACUAACUUUAAAAAAAAUGAGAGAAGACUCAAAUACAUAAAAUUAUAAAUGAAAAAGGAGACAUUACAACUGAUACGACAGAAAUAUAAAUAAUCAUAAGAGGGUGCUAGGAGCACUUGUACACUAACAGAUUGGAUAAUCUAAAAGAAAUGAAUAAAUACCCAGACACAUACAACCUAUCAACACUGAAUAAUGAAGAAAUGGAAAAUCAGAAUAGAUCAAUAAUAAGUAGGGAGAUUUAAUAAAUAAUUAGAAGUCUCCCAUCAAAGAAAAACUUAAGACUUAUUCACUGUGAUCAAGUGGGAUUUAUCCCUGGGAUGCAAAAAUGAUUCAACAUAAGCAAAUACAUAAAUGUGAUAUGCCAUAUUAACAGAAUGUAAAACAAAAGACCCACAUGAUCACCUAAUAGAUGCAGAAAAGGCAUUUGACAAAAUUCAACAUCCUUUCAUGAUAAAAACUAUCAACCAAUUAGGUAUGGAAGGAAGGUAUCUCAGUACAGAAAUGCCAUACAUGACAAGUUCUUACCUUAUAUGAUACAUAACAGUUAAAAGUUAAAAACUUUUCCCCUAAUGUCAAAAACAAGAUAAUGCCCACUCCAGCAGUUUUCAUUUAACAUAAUAUUAGAUGCCUGAGUUAAAGCAAUUAGACAAUAAAAAGAGAAAAAUAGACAUCAAAAUCAGAAAGGAAGAAGUUAACUUGUCUCUUCAAAUGAUUUUUUUUUUUUUUUUUUUUUUUUUAGACAAAGUCUAGCUCUGUCACCCAGGCUGGAGUGCAGUGGUGCAAUCUUAGCUCGCUGCAACUUUUGCCUCCCGAGUUCAAGUGAUUCUCCUGCCUCAGCCUCCCCAAGUAGCUGGAAUUACAGGCAUGCUCCACCACGCUCUAAUUUUUGUAUUUUUAGUAUACAAGGGGUUUCCCCAUGUUUUCCAGGCUGGUCUUGGACUCCUGACCUCAGGUGAUCUACCUGCCUUGGCCUCCCAAAGUGUUGGGGUUAUAGGUGUGAGCCACUGCACCUGGGCAGAUGAUAUCCUAUAUAACAAAAACCCUAAAGACUCCACCAAAAAUAUUAGAACUAAUAAAUUCAGUAAGGUGUCAGGAUAUAAAAUCAACAUAUACAAAUUAAUAGCAUUUCUAUAAAGUAUUAACUAUCCAAAAAUGAAUUCAAGAAUGCAAUUGCAUUUAUAAUAGCUAUGAAACAAUAAAAUAUUUGGAAAUAAAUUUAACCAAGGAGGUGAAAGCUCUGCACAUUAAACACUACAAAACAAUGAUGAAAGUAACUGAAGAAGAUACAAAUAAAUGGGAAUAUAUGUUAAGUUCAGGCAUUAAAUUCAUAUUGCUAAAAUGCCCACACUCAACAAAGCUGUCUACAGAUUCAGUGCAAUCCCUAAUGAAUUACCAGGGAUAUUUUUCAUAAAAGUAGAAUAAAA